rnacentral:lncRNA from 1 species
CUGAUCCAGCCUGACGUGGGCUGUCACGCAUCCCAUUUCAGACUGUGGUCCAGAAAGUCCUCCUGGGAUUUACUGCAGGGCAAGAGGAUGAAGAAGAGGAAGAGAGGAAGAGUCACCAUGAUGGUGACAGCUGUUCUGGUAGAAACUGGCUGGAAAUAUCAAUUAUGCACAUAUUGCACACAGCAAACAGAAAAUACGCAUUGCCAAGUUCAUGAGUUUUAGUGAUGAUUUCAGUCAUCUGUAGUCACAGUGAUGGAGAAGCUCGUGUGAGAAGCAGGCACAUUCAGAAAACUCAAAUUAUUCCCCUGUUUGUAUACGUGCAUCAAAAGUCUAAGACCUUGCUGCAAAAUAUGAGGACAUCAAAUUGCUUUUUUACUAUCAUAUAACCCUCAUCUUCUAACCAUCUGGGAAGAAUUCAGCCACCUCAAAACCCAUUGGGAGCUGUACCAAAUAAAGCAGAACAUAAAUAAAUCCUUUUACUUUGC